rnacentral:piRNA from 1 species
UGAUGACUGAUGACCGAUGAUUCUUCUUGCC